GCCAAAGUAUGUUAGUUGGUUUCCUGAUCCAGAAGCUUAUGCUUCAGAUGCAUUUUCUCUCUCUUGGAGUAAUUUAUUACCAUAUAUUUUUGCUCCUUUCAGUCAGUUGCCAAGAGUCCUACAGAAAAUAGAAGAGGACAAGCUAGUGGUUUACAGGAACUGUAUGGUGGACCAGGAGGAUCAGCUAUGGUUUUUCUACGUACAUGUUAUGAUGUAUCUAGCAUUUCUGCGAGAUGAAUGGUUUUUGGACAUUCCAUUUGGUUUUUUGCAACAGGAGUUUGCUUACAUUUGGAGUUGAAUCGAACAGUUUUAGUCAAUAGCAUUAAAUUUCGAGAACGUUUGAGAAGAAGCAUAGAGAAAAUGUGAUAAUUUAAGAAUAAUGAGAAAACAACAGUGUUAUUUUGUUAUAUUUGUUACAUGUGAGAGACAUUUUAAAGUGAACUUUAUAGAGUAUUAAUUGUUUUCUGAAGAUUGUAACAGAUUUUUGUUUUUGAACAUAAUAAAAGUUAUUAUGAA